CAAUAACUUGUGCAAAUCUUUUAUAUAAGUAUGUAAUUAUUUAUACAGAAAUAAAAAUACGAAUAUUUGAGUUUGAUGAUGGCUCUGAUUGAACGCUGUCCAAAGGCUUGACACAUGCUAAUCAUACAUUAUUUUGUAGCAAUUUAAGGCUUUUACGAAAGUAAACUCUUAGCUUGAUACGAAGUAAGGUGGUGUAAAGGUGAGUAUUAAUACAUUAUUAUUACCUUGAAGCAAGGAAAUGAUUCCUUAUAAAGAUAAGUAUAUAUUAAUUUACAGUAUGUAUUUAAUUAAAGAAUAAUUAUUCGCUUUAAGAUAGCUUUAAUGUUUCCAAGUAAGUAGUAAUUAAGGUAACGGCUUAAUUAGCUUAAACUUGUAGCCAUAACUGAGAGGUUAACUGGCCACAUUGGGUCUGAAAAAACCCCAAUAUGUAUAGUACAGCAGUGAGGAAUAUUGGUCAAUGGCCUAACGGCUGAACCAGCAAUUUGGGGGAAUGUAAGCAUAUAUAAUAGUGUUAUAUGCGUAUCGACUAUGUCGAAUAAAGUUCUAAAUAGAUAAUUGAUAAUGACAAACGUCUAUUUACAUGUCUCGACCAAUUCUUGUGCCAGCAGUCGCGGCAACACAAGUGAGACUAGUGUUAUUCAUCUUUAUUAGGUUUAAAGGGUACCUAGACAGUAAAUUUAGCCCCGAUUAUAUUAGGGUACAGAUAUACUAGAGUUUUAUACGGGAGGUAAAUAUUAGGACUAUUGGUGGAGAGAUAAAAUUUUUUUAUACUAAUGGGAUGUAUAACGGCGAAGGCAACCCUCUAUGUAAAAACUGACGUUAAGGGACGAAGGCUUGGGGAGCAAAUAGGAUUAGAUACCCUAGUAGUCCAGGCAGAAAAUUAUGAGUGUUAUAGAUCAAAUAUAUAAUUGGUGUAUAAAUGAAAGUGUAAGCAUUCCACCUCAAGAGUAAUGUGGCAACGCAGGAACUGAAAUCAUUAGACCGUUUCCGAAACCAGUAGUGAAGUAUGUUAUUUAAUUCGAUGAUCCGCGAUAAACCUUACCACAAUUUGAAUGUUUUCUAAAACUUCUUUUCCAUUACUUUUUCUUUUAGAAAAAGUUCUAAGAAAGCUCUCCGAUAUUUGUUUUAAAACUUCAAGUAAAAGGGAUAUUAAACACAAGCGUUGCACGGCUGUCUUCAGUUAAUGUCGUGAGAUUUUGGUUAGAUCCAUAAAAUUGACGUAAACCCUUGCUGGAUUAAUUUAUUAAUUCAGUAGUUCGCCGCUAGAUUGGUAACGAUAACAGGGACCAAGACAAGUCAUCAUGACCUUAAUAUUGUGGGCUAUAGACGUGCCACAUAAAUUUGUACAAAGAGAAGCGAAAAUGCGAAUAUGAGCUAACCUCUAAAACAGAAUAUAAAAUGGAUUGUAGCCUGAAAUUCGGCUGGAUGAAAUAGGAAUUACUAGUAAUCGUGAAUCAUUACAUCACGGUGGAUUUAAUCUCGGAUAGGUACUAACUACUCGUCAGGCGCUGAAAGGAGUAUGUGCAAUAAGUUUGGUUCAUGUUGAUCUUCCCUUUAAACGAUUAGGUUUAAAUAUUUCUUCUAAUAAUCUUCGUAUGCGUGACUCUGAUUGGUGUUAAGUCGAAAUAUGGUUCGUGUAGUGGAAAUUGCACGGGUUUAAUAAACAUUAACAA
rnacentral:rRNA from 1 species